GUAGAAUCAACAUAAAGGCUGAUGUGCUUUGGCUCUGUGUUCCCACCCAUUCCCACGUGUUGAGGGCAGGAAGUGAUGGGAUUAUGGGGAGGUGGUUUCUCCCAUGCUGUUCUCAUGAUAGUGAGUGAGUCUCAUGAAAUCUUUUGGUUUUAAAAGAGGCAAUUUUUUCCUGUGCUCCUGCUUCUCUCUCUCCUGCCACCUUGUGAAGAAGGUGCCUGCUUCUCCUUUGCCUUCGGCCGUGAUUGUCAGCUUCCUGAGGCCUCCCCAGCCGUGCGGAACUGUCCGAAGUCUGAGUGGGCUCAACCAGCUCCCCUGGUUCAACGUCCAGCAAGGUCCAAAGGAAGGUGACAAUCAACAGGGAUCUUAUUGGGAAGUUCUG
rnacentral:lncRNA from 10 species